AGCACAGAAUUUUUCGCUAACA
rnacentral:miRNA from 1 species